rnacentral:lncRNA from 1 species
GAUUUACAGGACCAAAGAGCAAAAUUCAACACAGAUCUCCAAGCAAGUCAUUUCAGCAUUAUGUUUUGCUGUUGUUUCUUCUACAGGCAGUCUCAGCAAGCCUAGGUUAUCCUGUCCAACAAUAAUACUGGCUCUAUGCUGAUGAACUGGUUAGAAAAUGGUUAAUUAUGUACCCGGUUAAGUGAAAUACAUUCAUUUCAUAAUUCUUUAUUUUAUUUCUGGGAAUUUCUGUAAUAUAAAUCACUGUCGCUGACUAUCCAGUUAUUAUUUAAAUAUGAGUCUAUCUUUUUGCAUUUUGAGACUCUUGACAUUCCCAUGAAUAUCAGUAUGUGUGUAGAGUAAAUCAGAUGCAGUUUAGCAUAGAAGUACCACUGUGUCCCCAGCUCUGCAUGGGAGACUACAUGCAGUGUUUUACACCAAGAUGCAAAAAAAGAUUUAAGGGACUCUUAUGUGCAAACUAGGCACAGGAAAACAAAGCUUUAAUGUGACAUAUGGCUUUCUAUUUUUGUGCCUUAGAUUUAAAUAUGAGGCAACACACAAAUACAUAAUAUUCAGGAUUUAUCAAUGUGUGUUUUCACACCAGCUAAUUGAGCACUUCAGGGCUAUCUAUGCAUUUGUUGGUUAUUUUUAAUGAGAACAUACAGCUGUGUGAAUGGUCAUAAGUUGUGGCUUCUGCAUACUUUCAAACAUCGCAUCAUUUUUAGUGAACAAAACUACCUACAGCAAGUUGUUCUCUCGUUGGCCAGCAAAAGGUAUGUCCCUCUCUGGGUGUCAUUUAAUAGUUUUUAUCAUGAAGGGAGAGGAUUUCCGAUCUUCUGCUGGAUGUCACCAAAAGAGAAGAAUGAAGAUCUUGAUGCAAUGGAGCACAGCGUGACAGCAUCAGACUCCUUGCAAACCCAGGAUCCUCCUGGAGGUAUUUAA